rnacentral:lncRNA from 1 species
CUUCUGAUGUUCUCAUCCUAAAUGCCUCCACAGAUUUGACUGGUUCCAGGUCAACAGAUCCUUCUCACUCCCUGUAGCACACUUCUGCUUUUCAUCCUUGUAACAGAUACCUCAUUACAGAAUCAGGAUUGCAUGAUGUCAAAAGGGUUGCAUUGCAAAGCACAGAUAUGUCAUUCCCGUUACAGAUGCAGAAACCAUACCGAUGGAUUGAUCUUGAAUUUCAAAACAGACUGUUGCCAGUGGGUCUGUCAAAAACUGCAAGACCAGCAAGUACCAGCCUGCCUGCUGACUCCUCCAUUCCUACCACUGUUCCUAAUCCUGUUCAGCUCCUGAUCAUUCCCUGACUCUUAAAAGACAGCAUUUUAAUAGGUAUUAUCAAGUACGUUUGCUAUGUAACCUCUUUCUGCUUAGGAAGCACGUUUUUCUGUCAGAUUUUUUCCUUGACUUAAAGAGACUUCGAUGGCGGCAACAACGCAUUCCCACACAAAGAAAAAUUUGCCCUCACAGUUUUCACUGUUUGUAUUUUUUUGGAGAUGGCAUAGAUGCUGUUAAUGGAAAGGGGAAAGAAAGGGGAAUGAAAAGGGAAAAAAAAAAAUAAAAAAGGUAAAUGCAAGAAUAGUGCCA